rnacentral:sRNA from 1 species
GCCGGGUGCUGUGGCCCAUGCCUGUCAUCCCAGCAGCUUGGGAGGCUGAGACAGGAGAAUCACAAAGCCAGUCUCAGCAACUCAGCCAGGCACUAAGCAACUUAGAGAGACCCUGUCUCUA